CACCAAGUAACUUUGUUUCUGGAACAAACCAAUACAAAGAUAUGAGAAAAAUGAUAAAUGUCUAAUAAAUCUGAGCUGUCAGUGGCUCCAUCUAACAGCCAGAAUGUCACCAUAUUAGAGAAGAAAGAUGUCACAUGACUGCCAAGUAACAAUCCUAAUCAUUUCCAUGUCACCACUGAUAAGAAACACAUGGAUUGGAAGUAGAAGGCAAAAAAAAAUAGAUAUAAUGAAGUAACCGAGGAAUACUAAUAAUUUCUAUAAAAAGGUUUACUGUACCAUGACAGUGUUUUCAUUUAACUACACCUGUCAUUGAGAAAUCCCAGAGCUGUCUUGUGCAUUUCCAAAGAAGUGCUUCAUCAUGAAUAUCAAAGAACCUUCAACGGCAAUCCAGUAAAUGUAAUUGGAAAGCAACAUGUGAUCUUUAUUGUAUUAAAAACAUUUUAAUAGUUCCCAGUUAGGAAGUCCAGCAUAAAGGUAUUCCAUAAAUGUUAAUUGUACAAAAGACUGUUUCAUACAGUACAG